UAAAGCUUAUCCACAGUCUCCAAAGACAACGAAACCUCCCUACCCAGGGUCUCCUGUGAAGUACCGCUUACCUGCCCUUUCUGGCCAAGACAUGCCCAAGAGGAAAGCGGAGAAAGAGAAGAGCAACAAGGAAAGGGAAGGUACCUUGGCUGCUGGCCCGCAAGGAGAGGAAGCCCUAGAGAAGCAUGUAGUGGACAAGCAUGCCAGCGAGAAGCAUGCUGCUGCCGCAGGAGGGAAAGCCGAAAACAGCGCAGCCUUGGGGAAGCCCACAGCAGGCACCACUGAUGCAGGAGAGGCUGCGAAGAUCUUGGCUGAAAAGAGAAGACAGGCCCGGCUGCAGAAGGAACAGGAGGAGCAAGAACGACUGGAGAAGGAAGAACAAGAUAGAAUGUGAAGCUUUGCAUAGUGCCACGUGGGAGGUGAGGAGUGAGGAAGGAAAGUACCAGACAACCUGGGGCUGGAACACAGCGGCCACCUCUUGGAAUAAGAUCAUCCUCACAUCUGUUUUAUGUUUACAGUUAAUAGUUAAAGCCACAGAAAUGUUGCCAGAUAAAAUAAUUUAGAGAAAAAUAAAGUUACUUGAGUCAAA
rnacentral:sRNA from 1 species